GGCAGCCGAGCGUGCUCCUCCCACCUCCAGCUACUCCAACAGCCUCCUUAGGCCAUGAUUGCUCCACUGCCACCUAAAAACAAAGAGGAAGAAGACAAAAUUAAGGGAUUAAAAAGGAAAUUUGAAGAGAAGAAAGGGGGAUUUUUCGGCAACACAAAAAAAAAGGAAAAAUAGCAGAGAAACAAAAAAUCAAACAGCAACAAGCGAAAAGCCCACCCCACCGUCGAUCCCACCACCACCGUCGUCUCACCGCCAUCGUGACACCACCACCACCGUCACACCUAUACAAACAAACAAAGCAACAAGCAAAAAAUAUAAAAAUAGCAAGCAAAGAAAAAAACAGCAGCCAAAAAGAAAGAAGAGAAGAAAGAAAAAGAGAGAGAGGAGGAGAAGGGAGGCGCGCCGGCCACCGCACCACCGAACGGAAGAAGCAUCAGCGGCGUAAGGAGGCUAGGGUUCGGCCUGAAGAAGAAGAAAAAAAAAAGAAGAAAAAGAGAGAAGAAAAAAAGAGAAAAAAAUAUAUAUCACAGUCGGGUCAACCCGACCCGACCCGACCCGCGCUCCAGCAGCCCCAAAACAGCAGGCUUGUCCAGAAAAAAAAAAAGAAAACAAAAAAAUAGCAGGCCUGCAGCAGAAAAAAAAUAAAGCAGGCCCACCAGCAGGCCAUAGCCAAACGUCCAGCAGCUCCAGCAGGCCAGCAUCCAGUCCAGCAGGCCCAGUCCGCCAGUGCAGCCCAACAGCAGUGAAGCAGGCCCAAUUCGCAACGGCCC
rnacentral:lncRNA from 1 species